GCUGGCGGCAGGCCUAACACAUGCAAGUCGAGCGGUAACAUUUCUAGCUUGCUAGAAGAUGACGAGCGGCGACGGGUGAGUAACGCGUAGAAAUCUACCUAGUAGUGGGGGAUAGCCCAGAGAAAUUUGGAUUAAUACCGCAUACGCCUACGGGGGAAAGCGGGGGAUCUUCGGACCUCGUGCUAUUAGAUGAGUCUGCGUCGGAUUAGCCUGUUGGUGAGGUAAUGGCUCACCAAGGCGACGAUCCGUAGCUGGUCUGAGAGGAUGACCAGCCACACUGGAACUGAGACACGGUCCAGACUCCUACGGGAGGCAGCAGUGGGGAAUAUUGCACAAUGGGCGCAAGCCUGAUGCAGCCAUGCCGCGUGUGUGAAGAAGGCCUUAGGGUUGUAAAGCACUUUCAGCAGUGAGGAAAGGGGUGUCGUUAAUAGCGCCAUCCUGUGACGUUAACUGCAGAAGAAGGACCGGCUAACUCCGUG
rnacentral:rRNA from 1 species